UACGUAGGGUGCGAGCGUUAAUCGGAAUUACUGGGCGUAAAGCGUGCGCAGGCGGUUUUGUAAGCCAGAUGUGAAAUCCCCGGGCUUAACCUGGGAAUGGCAUUUGGGACUGCAAAGCUUGAGUGCGGCAGAGGGGACUGGAAUUCCUGGUGUAGCAGUGAAAUGCGUAGAGAUCAGGAGGAAUACCGAUGGCGAGGGCAGGUCCCUGGGCUGACACUGACGCUCAUGCACGAAAGCGUGGGGAGCAAACAGG
rnacentral:rRNA from 1 species